AGAGUUUGAUCCUGGCUCAGAUUGAACGCUGGCGGCAUGCUUUACACAUGCAAGUCGAACGGCAGCAUGACCUAGCUUGCUAGGUUGAUGGCGAGUGGCGAACGGGUGAGUAAUACAUCGGAACGUACCCAAUAGUGGGGGAUAACGCAGCGAAAGCUGUGCUAAUACCGCAUACGUCCUACGGGAGAAAGCGGGGGAUCUUCGGACCUCGCGCUAAUGGAGCGGCCGAUGUCAGAUUAGCUAGUUGGUGGGGUAAAGGCCCACCAAGGCGACGAUCUGUAGCUGGUCUGAGAGGAUGAUCAGCCACACUGGGACUGAGACACGGCCCAGACUCCUACGGGAGGCAGCAGUGGGGAAUUUUGGACAAUGGGGGCAACCCUGAUCCAGCCAUGCCGCGUGAGUGAAGAAGGCCUUCGGG
rnacentral:rRNA from 1 species